GGUUCAAUGGCGUAGUGGUUAUCGCAUCUGUCUUACAUCUGUGGAAACACUGUUUGUUCACAGAAGGUCUCUGGUUCGAUCCCGGGUUGAAUCA